GCUGGGCGUGGUGGCUCACGCCUGUAAUCCUAGCACUUUGGGAGGCUGAGGCUGGUGGAUCACCUGAGGUCAGGAGUUUGAGACCAGCCUGGCCAACAUGGUGAAACCCCGUCUCUG
rfam:Homo sapiens chromosome 15 genomic contig HG2139_PATCH, GRC reference assembly FIX PATCH for GRCh38.